AAUAAUAGUUCAUUGGUCAUAAACUGAAUAAAAAAUAUCAACACCAAAUUAGUAGUAAACAUACAGAGAAUGUUUUUUCUUGGUCUUAAGAAAAUGGGAAGGAAGGGAAAUGAAGUUUCUUUUUCCAUGAUAUUAACAUUUGUGAUGGUCUUAAUGUUAUCUAGUUUGGAAUUGAUAACUUGUAGUACAAAGAAUGAGUGUUUCUUGAAUUGUAUUAGGAAAUGUCCAUCUGAAGAUUAUCAAUGUUAUGAUCGCUGUGGAUGGGAUUGUCCACAUAAGCUUAGUACCUCUUAUGAUUAUUGCAAUUUUGGAUGUGUACUUCGUCGUUGCUCAAAAAUGGUUGAAGAUUCGGAUUCAUGGCGAACUUGCAGACACACUUGUUACGUUGGCUGUGGUCAUUAAUGCAAAUUUUUAUCUAAGGCGAACCCAAAUAUGCCCGUUAUAAUUUUCAUUUAAAUAAAAUUUUUCUCAAUUGGAACUUU